CAGCAGGUGCCGCAGUGCUUAGCGUUGUAACCUUCCGCCGGAACGCUCUGGGUUCGAAUCCCCCUCAUGUUCUAGUGCCCCGAAUCAAGGUGCUCAGUGUGAACUGACACUGUAGAAUACACGGGUAAAUCAGUGUGAGUAGCUGUGGAGCACCGUGGGUUAAAGGAGCUGCUGUGUUACCACGCUACGAGGCCACCCGUCAGGGAGACGAUGCGGAGCGGUGCCCGAGGGUCCGUGUCAGUGACGCUGAGAGCUGGGGUUAGGGUGCGAGAGGGGACACUUGCUGGUCCCCCUGCCAGCUGAGGACGUGUGUCGGCGGACGGUGGCGACUACCGAACACCUGCACGAGUUCACAAGAGUGCGUUUGCGGCGUUCCCGUCUACAACAUUGCGCACAACGGUAGAAACGCAUCACACGCAACCCUCAAUCCGCUGCAGUACUUCCCGUCUCGGCUCCGCACGGCCCACGUCCUGCGCGUGGACGCUUGAGCUGUGGAUUUUGUCACAUCGAUACACAUUUGGACUUUCCGAGUCUGUUGCUCCACGAGCCCCCGAGAGGAGCAGAAGAAUGGGACUUGUUUCUGUCUAUCGUGGGAUGCUGACAUGGAUAUUAAAGAUUCUAGUUUUAGUACUAGGAGUGUUAACCGAGCAACUGCAAAUUUCAAAGGUCAGGUGGCCCCUCUGUGCAGCAUUAAUCUGAACCCAUGGAUUUAGCUGAUGCUCUUCUCCUGACCAUCUUACAAUGAUUUACCCAUUUUUACAGCAGGGUAGCUUUCACUGCAUCCAUCCAGGUUAAGCACCUUGAAUAAGGGCAUCACCCCAGGGCGGGAUUCAGAGCCGGCUCCUUUGAGUAAAAAGCAGCAACUGUAGUCUGGGCACUACUUUGAAACUAAUCCUGAGCUACUGCUCUUUGCACUGCGUGUACUAUCACUUUAAGGAAGUCCUGCACUCUCGCUUUGUAGCCGGGAGUCACCCGCUAGUUCGUACACCACAAACCGCAAACCUGAUGUGGCAGGGUUGAAAGAAACAUUUACUGAACCUGAUGUUAUGAAACUAGGAAAUUUCAUACAACACUAUAUUGCAUAAGUCAAAAGAUGUCAGCAAAACAGCCAAAUACAACACCAUACAAAG